CACAAGAGCCACUCAUCAAUCGCUGUCCCAGGUUUGGUGUAUUGUUGGGGCAGUUGUGCCGGGGAUUUUGCUUGUUGGCUUCAUUUCGGUUCUUAUUUUCUUGCGUCUUACUAACCACAUCCACUUCACGAAGAAAGGUGUCCACGAAGGAUUGGCAUCUGCUUCUACAACCAAAACAGCCGCUGCAGACGAUCCGGCAAACGUCACAAUGGCCCACUACGAGGCUCUUA